CAGCAGCCGCGGUAAUACGAAGGGGGCUAGCGUUGUUCGGAAUUACUGGGCGUAAAGCGCACGUAGGCGGAUUUUUAAGUCAGGGGUGAAAUCCCGAGGCUCAACCUCGGAACUGCCUUUGAUACUGGAGAUCUUGAGUUCGGAAGAGGUUGGUGGAACAGCUAGUGUAGAGGUGAAAUUCGUAGAUAUUAGCUAGAACACCAGUGGCGAAGGCGGCCAACUGGUCCGAUACUGACGCUGAGGUGCGAAAGCGUGGGGAGCAAACAGGAUUAGAUACCCCAGUAGUCCCUGUCUCUUAUAC
rnacentral:rRNA from 1 species